rnacentral:rRNA from 1 species
GAUGAACGCUGGCGGCGUGCCUAAUACAUGCAAGUCGAGCGAAGGACGAGAAGCUUGCUUCUCUGAUGUUAGCGGCGGACGGGUGAGUAACACGUGGAUAACCUACCUAUAAGACUGGGAUAACUUCGGGAAACCGGAGCUAAUACCGGAUAAUAUUUUGAACCGCAUGGUUCCAAAGUGAAAGACGGUCUUGCUGUCACUUAUAGAUGGAUCCGCGCUGCAUUAGCUAGUUGGUAAGGUAACGGCUUACCAAGGCAACGAUGCAUAGCCGACCUGAGAGGGUGAUCGGCCACACUGGAACUGAGACACGGUCCAGACUCCUACGGGAGGCAGCAAUAGGGAAUCUUCCGCAAUGGGCGAAAGCCUGACGGAGCAACGCCGCGUGAGUGAUGAAGGUCUUCGGAUCGUAAAACUCUGUUAUUAGGGAAGAACAUAUGUGUAAGUAACUGUGCACAUCUUGACGGUACCUAAUCAGAAAGCCACGGCUAACUACGUG